CCUACGGGAGGCUGCAGUGAGGAAUAUUGGUCAAUGGGCGGGAGCCUGAACCAGCCAAGUCGCGUGAGGGACGACGGUCCUAUGGAUUGUAAACCUCUUUUGUCGGGGAACAAAGGCGCCCACGGGUGGGCGGAUGAGUGUACCCGAAGAAAAAGCAUCGGCUAACUCCGUGCCAGCAGCCGCGGUAAUACGUAGGGGGCAAGCGUUAUCCGGAUUUACUGGGUGUAAAGGGAGCGUAGACGGUGCGCCAAGUCUGGAGUGAAAUGCCGCAGCUUAACUGCGGAACUGCUUUGGAAACUGGUGAACUAGAGUGCGGGUGGGGUAAGCGGAAUGGCUAGUGUAGCGGUGAAAUGCGUAGAUAUCAGGAGGAACACCGGUUGCGAAGGCGGCUUACUGGACCGUAACUGACGUUGAGGCUCGAAAGCGUGGGGAGCAAACAGGAUUAGAUACCCGAGUAGUC
rnacentral:rRNA from 1 species